CUAAGAUUGGAUCUUGAUGCAGGUGCAUGUUGGUCCAAGCAUGGAGAAGAUUCUGGUACGAUCUUGUAAAAUCCGCCAAAUCUCGUGUGCAGAUCCAAAUCGAGUGGUUCAAAGUUCUGCAGAUAGGGGAUGUUUGGUUUAUACUAUGGUGAUAACCGAGAGAGGCAAUUGCUAAGU